rnacentral:rRNA from 1 species
UACGUAGGGUGCAAGCGUUGUCCGGAAUUAUUGGGCGUAAAGAGCUCGUAGGCGGUUUGUCGCGUCUGCUGUGAAAACGCGAGGCUCAACCUCGCGCCUGCAGUGGGUACGGGCAGACUAGAGUGCGGUAGGGGAGAUUGGAAUUCCUGGUGUAGCGGUGGAAUGCGCAGAUAUCAGGAGGAACACCGAUGGCGAAGGCAGAUCUCUGGGCCGCAACUGACGCUGAGGAGCGAAAGCAUGGGGAGCGAACGGG